rnacentral:rRNA from 1 species
UACAGAGGUGGCAAGCGUUGUUCGGAAUUACUGGGCGUAAAGGGCGCGUAGGCGGCUUUCUAAGUCAGACGUGAAAUCCCCCGGCUUAACCUGGGAACUGCGUCUGAUACUGGGAGGCUUGAAUGCGGGAGAGGGAUGUAGAAUUCCAGGUGUAGCGGUGAAAUGCGUAGAUAUCUGGAGGAACACCGGUGGCGAAGGCGGCAUCCUGGACCGACAUUGACGCUGAGGCGCGAAAGCUAGGGUAGCAAACGGG